CACUUUCGAAAUCAAAUAGAAAAGUUGUCGUGUCGUAUCAACUCUAGUCGCGUCUCUUUAUAGAAUCGUUUAAUACAGCAGAUUUGAGACCUAACCCAGCCAUCAUAACUACAAGAUAUACAAACUGUUUGCUUGUGCUGGCAUUGAUUUACCAUCAGCAACAAUCUCAGCAUCACCACUUAGAUUAAACAGCAUCCCUCUUCAUUGGAGAAACUACUGAUGUCGAUCGAGUUACGGAUCUCUUCAAUUCCCCUUUCUCUAAUGUCCUCGUGUACUCCCAUGCGAGUGUGGGUGUAUUCACGAGGACCCCCUUUUUCCUAUCCCACCUGCUGGAUUCAACUCUUCAACGGAUGGAGCACCUGUGGAUGCCUGGCUGCAUUUCCCAGGCUUAAAGAUUUGAGGCCUGAGUCAGCCAUCAUCGUCACAAGAUAUCCAAGUUUUGCAUGUGCUAUGUGUCAUCACUCAUCACCAAUAAUUUAAGUUUCGUCACUUGGCAUCCGGCAUCCCGUUCCAUUAAAGAAACUACGCAUGUCAAUCGAGUUACGUCUCUCUCCUUCCCCUUUCCUUAAA